CCUACGGGAGGCAGCAGUGGGGAAUAUUGCACAAUGGGGGAAACCCUGAUGCAGCGACGCCGCGUGAGUGAAGAAGUAUUUCGGUAUGUAAAGCUCUAUCAGCAGGGAAGAAAGUGACGGUACCUAAUUAAGAAGCCCCGGCUAACUACGUGCCAGCAGCCGCGGUCAUACGUAGGGGGCAAGCGUUAGCCGGAUUUACUGGGUGUAAGGGGAGCGGAGACGGCAGCACAAGUCUGGAGUGAAGUGCCGGGGCUUAACCCCGGAACUGCUUUGGAAACUGUGAAGCUAGAGUGCAGGAGAGGGAAGUGGAAUUCCUAGUGUAGCGGUGAAAUGCGUAGAUAUUAGGAGGAACAUCAGUGGCGAAGGCGGCUUACUGGACUGUAACUGACGUUGAGGCUCGAAAGCGUGGGGAGCAAACAGGAUUAGAUACCCCGGUAGUC
rnacentral:rRNA from 1 species